ACAAAGCCCAGUGCAGGGCUUGACCUCACAAACCAUGAGAUCACGAUCUGAGCUGAAGUUGGAUGCUUAACCAACUAAGCCACCCAGGCACCCCCAAAACUGUUUUUAAAAGGUGACACAGAUGAGGGAGGGUAAGUAAUUUGUCAGAAUAAAGUUGAAGGGGGAGGAAGACAGUAUGCUGAGGAUGGCCAGAAAGGCUCAAGGGCCUGCUGGAGACUGAAUGCAGAGGAAUCUCCUCCAAAUCAGGAAAUGCCAGAUCCCUUCUGCUACCCAAGCAGUGCAGGAAUGUUGACCUUCUGCAGAAAUGAACUGGAGGACCUGUGGGCUUUGGGCAUCAAACAUAGCAGAAACUGGGGGUACAGAGAUGUCAGCAAGAUAGAAAUCAGGUGGACGUCUGUAGAACUGGCGAGAGCCAAGCCACUUUCUCCAACCUGGGCCCAGAGUCCCAGUGGCCAGAAUUCAUCCCCUAGACAAGAAAUUGGCAGAAUCCUCUGGAAAAGCUGAAUGACCAAGAUAAAAGACCUCACUCUUCAUGUCCUUCAGGAUGGAGGGGCUGCAAAUAGUGGGGGCCCCUCCUGGAAGACCAUCACCCAGCCAGCUCUGUCCUUGCACAUGGAGCUUCCACUUUUGAUACCUCUUUCUGCUGCAGUAAGAACAGGCAAGUAAAGAUCCAACAUUUGAGGACAGCGUGUAUACCUGUGUACUCCCACCCCGAUGAAGGCAUACAAUGCUUUUGUUUAAUUACCAGCUUUAGAGUCGUGUUUGACUUUUAAAACAUAUACAUAUAUUGCUUUGUUAAAAAAGAAAAGUUAAAGAAAGACAAAAGAGCCCCAUUGCUCUGAGGGGUUCUUUCAUCUCCAAACACACAUGGACUCCCUCGAGUGAGUGGUCCCGAUACAGCUUCAGCAUCCAUGUCAUACACCCAUGGGACCCCGUCAAAGUGAGCUGGGUGUGCAUGGAGGAUGGAGAAGGGACGUGGUGUCUGCAGCCCUACCUCCUGCGGCACCCGGGCUGGGUCUCAUGACCUUGUCCGGGCUAGUGGUGAAGGCUGUGGGGGAAACCCAGGGCCCAGGGGCUUGUUGAUUUGGUUAUAUAAAUGAGGGCUGACUGUGCAUGGAGAAGCCAAGAGAACCCCCAAGACUGAACUGAAGGUAUCCCUAUGGUCGCUUGGUUUUCUCAUCAACAGGCCCUUUCUGCCUGCAGUGAGUAGGGCCUCGCUGGGCUCUCUGGGAGAGCUGAGAGGCUGAGUGUGUUUCCCUUCCUCAGGAGCUUGAAGUGAGGUAGUCAGAUGAGGGAUAAGAUGGAGAGGAAGGGGCCCAGGCUGAUUUCUGGUGUCCCUGUUGUACAGCACACUAUGGCUGGGUGAGGGGGAUCAGUGAGGGUUUCCUUACAGAAGAGUGUGGUCUAGAAACAGCUGUGAGAGGAGCAAGCCAGUAGGGCAGUUAUCACAGUGUGAGCAGGGCCUUUUGGGGGGAGGGGUGUCGCCCUCCAGUGAUAGGUGGGGAGGCUGCUUGCUUCUCUGUACCGGUCUCAGUUGAGCUGGAGGGAGUGCGUCUGGAAGCGGACAACCAGCCUCGGCCUGUCCAAAUACAUUUCCCUGGGGCUCUCAGGUUGCUCAUAGAUUGUCGGCCCAGAGGCAGGUGGGUUCCCACUGAGGUUUCUGGUGGGAAACCAUUUCUGAGGGAAUGCUCUCGCUCUUGGGUUGACUUGGGAGGCCUGUGGGGAGAUAAGCCAUGGACGGUUUCCUACUUAAGGAGACAGGAUAGGUAGGCAUCUUCAGCAGCAGGAAUCCAGGAGGUGCAGGGUGGGUGCUCUGUGUUUCUGGGGUCAAUUUAACAAGUCCCCAAAUGCACCUUUCCUUCCUUAUCCACCCCCCCACUUCCUCUCUUUCAUUUGGUCAUGUUUAUUGAGUGUUGACUGUAUGUACCAUUUUUUUAAAAAGUUUAUUUAUUUAUUUUGAAAGAGUGAGUGGGGGAAGGGAAGAGAGAGAGAGGCAGAGAGAGUAGAUCUCAAGCAGACUCCACACCACCAGCGCAGACCUUGAUGUGGGGCUCCAACUCACAAAACCAUGAGAUCAUGAUCUGAGCUGAAAGCAAGGGUCCGAUGGUUAGGCGACUGAGUCAUUCAGGUGCCCCGACCGUAUGUGCCAUUAAUCCAUCCUCAGGGGAAAAGAGGGUAAAGACUCUGUCCUCAGAGACCCUAAUCCUAGGGGAGACAGGCUCUCAAUGAACCAUCAAGAGGCAGGCUGUACCAAUGCCCUGGUGAGAGUCUCAAGAGAAAGGCGGCAGAUGGAUUGCAACACGGAUUCCGAGGGAGCUGGUGUGGGAGACGCCAUUGUACUCAUUCAUUCCACAGUCCUCUAUCAGGCAGCAUCCCUGGACAAGUUCCUGCCAUCUGGGCUGGCCCUGAGAUAUGCAUAGAUGCUACUAGGCAAAAAAGGGAAGGUAUUCUAGGAAGGGGACAGGGAAAACUGUGCAGGAACAUGAGUGGGGUGGUGGGUUGGAAGUAAUUGUAGAAGGCCUGGAAUGAGAACAGACUGGACUUUAUUCCAUAGGUAAUAAGGAGACCUAUGCUCACUGGAGGAACUCUGGAAGUUAUAUAAAGUAUAAAGAAGAACCAGUAAUACUGAUGGACAUUUCCAGGCACGAAGGCUUUAUCUUCCUUCUCACUGUGGAUUAGUUUCUUGGAAGGAUUCCCAGGGGAGGGAAACUGAGGCACAAGAAGGCCAGAGGCAGAGUUUGAAUCCAGGUGGUGUGGCUGCAGGGCCAUUCUGUUUACCUCCUACCCAUUUGGACCCCAGCACAUGGAUAAAACGCAUGGACCAUGCCUGACGCUUGAUUGGUGUUGCUCACAGCCACCCGGCAGGGAAGAAGUGGACCCACACCUGAGAGACAACAAGAGUGCUUGGUCACAGGUAAAGUCCUACCUGUACCUACUGCCCCCUGGAGAACAGAGGUGGAGGGUGAGGGCUGGGACAAGGGCAGGGAGGUGAGGUGCCGGCGAAGGCUAGGUGCACAUCCUCUACAGCUCCUUCUCACAUCACCACUGGCCAUCCAGGGUGGGGGGACUGUGGGGUACGAGAGGCAGCUCAAAGGGGCCUGUGGCCUGCCGGAAGCACCUCUUCUAUGUGGAUCUCCAGGAUAUCAGCUAGUGGAGGCUGGGUCAUCUUGCCCACCCCAGGUUAACUACUGCACGGGACAGCAUGUCCAUCCACUGGGCCACAGGAUCUGUACUUCUAAUCACACCUCCUUCAUGUCCUUCCUUUCCCACUGUAAGGUGAACCCCGCCAUCUCCAGGCCUUCCUGUGUCUCCAAUAAGCUCAAUGCUGUCAGCUCCCUCUACGGCAAUGAGCAGAAGACACCUCACCAUGGCGGUGUGCAGGCAUGUUGGUGGAGAAUUGUGGUUGCCAGUGAGGCAAGGAUGGGUGGCGGUUCUUCCUGGGGCCUCACCCUGGCAUAAAAACUUGACUCCCUUGAGUAGGGGGAGCAGAAAUCAGGCAUGGGAGGGAAAAGAUCCACUUGGAAGCCCAGAGCACCAGAUCUUGCCUAAGGAUGCAUUGAACUCCUUGUGUGACAGGCAAGGCAUAGACUCUCCCUAAGCCUUGCUUUAUCCAUCUGCAAAGUGAAUCUGAAUUUUGAUUGACCUCACAGGAUGAGACAAGGACUUGGGAAUGGUACUGGCUUGGGUAGGAAAGGGUGGCUGGUUCCAUUCUGGGAGGGGCUGUUAUUGCUUGUGUCAUCCUCUCCUGCAGGGUCGUUCACUGCUGGGUCCCUGUGGACCACAUAGGCUGGGCACAGAGUCAGUCCUUGAUAGUACUGAAUCAAUAAUAAAUGAACUGGAGGCUUCUGUAGUCAUUCUUACCAGGCCAUGUCUGGAGGAAGCAGGAGGAAGGGUUUCAUGUCUUCCCUGCCUUCUUCCAUCUCCUCCACUGCUUGGAUCCCGAGUCCUAGCUUGGGGUCUUUCCCUCUCCCAGUUGGCUGGACAAUGGAUGGUGGGGGCUGUCCAUCUUAGAAGGUGGAUCACCAAUGGUGUUUAUGAAGCUUAGGGAAGUAGGUCACUGGCACAGCUGAGACCUUGCAAAGCCAAGGGGCCAGGGGCACCUGUGUCCCUGUGCAGCUGAGAGAGCAGUAAAGCAAAAGGUGUCUUUGAUCCUCACUCUUCUCCUUGACAAACUCAGCUGGAUCCCAGAUGAGAUCACCAGAGGUCUAAUGAAAUCAGAACAAGAACUUUGCCUUUCCUGUAAGCUACCACUGUCAACCAUGUAGUGGAAAGAGAAGUAAGUCUUCCUCUAUGGUCUAUUGUAGGUGUGUGGUGUUGCUUAGAUGAAAUGAAGCAAACAAGAAAGAAAAAACUCCUGCCAGAAAAUUCUUUAGUAUGUAAUCAAGGAGAAACCAUUUGGAACAUUUAAGAAUAGGUGUGAACUAGGGGCGCCUGGGUGGCGCAGUCGGUUGAGCGUCCGACUUCAGCCAGGUCACGAUCUUGUGGU